rnacentral:lncRNA from 1 species
AAAGAACAAGGUUUCCCCCCCCAUACUUAAAUUAAACAUAGUCCUCAAUGUUUGAAGGGAAGGAAAUACAAUAGGGAAAGGAAAAAGAAACUACAACUAAUUAUGCCUUCCGCCUCGUGUUCUUGGGCCAGGUGAUCGUUGACGUAUGUCUAAGUUGUCAAAUCUGCUGAACAACUCAGUAAACCGCUGGUCGGUUAUGGCAUUCCUAGCAUCCUGUUGUUGUUGCAUUUGACGCAUCAUUUGCAUCAUCUCGACAUUCUGUGCUUGCAUACCAUCAAUAGCAUCCAUGAUGUCGUCGUUGGUUGCAGGCCUUCUUC